UCGUCUCAAGCUUUUGUUCAUCUGUUUCCAACCGCACGCCGGAGAACAGGAGCCAUUGCGACUCACCACAGUUACAGCGCGGUCUUCAGCAGCAGCAGCAGCAGUCGCGCGUGUGUUCGUAUUACCUCUUGCAGGAAGUGGAUACUGAAAUAGUUUCACUGUCGGACGUUUGGUGUAUAAAUCUUCAUUAACUUACAAACUCAACAUGGAGAACGAGAACAAAUACCUCCCGCAGCUGCUGGCGGAACGAGACAGUCUGGACGCGUCGUUCACGCACGCCAUGAAACUUAUAUCAGCAGAAAUCGAAAGGGUACAGAAAGGGGAGACCGAGAAAGAUACAGAAAGCUACCUGGACCUCUUUACAACAAAAAACAUCAAACUGAAGGAAAGGGUUCUCAUACCAGUCAAGCAGUACCCUAAAUUUAACUUUGUUGGGAAGAUCCUUGGACCACAGGGGAACACCAUCAAGAGACUGCAGGAAGAGACGGGCGCUAAGAUCUCUGUGUUGGGGAAAGGAUCCAUGAGGGACAAAACCAAGGAGGAUGGCUUGAGGAAAAGUGGAGAGCCGAAGUAUGCACACUUGUCAAUGGAACUUCAUGUGUUCAUCGAGGUGUUUGCUCCUGUUCCUGAGGCAUAUGUGCGCAUGGCUCAUGCCAUGGAGGAGAUCAAAAAGUUCUUGUUCCCUGACAUGAUGGAUGACAUUUGCCAGGAGCAGUUCAUGGAGAUGAAGUAUCUAAAUGGGGGUCAGGAACAUGGGGCCAGAGGCCGAGGAGGGCCACCCAUCAGAGGCCGUGGAGGUCUUCCUCCUCCUGGGGCACCCAGGGGUCGUGGUAUGCCCCCACGUGGAGGUGGCCGUGGCGGACCCCCUCGAGGUGGAGCCACAAGGGGAGCUCCUGCAGGUAGAGGUGGACCAUCAGCCCAGCAGCCCAGAGGAGCAGCUUCUAACCGUGCCCGUCCACCCGCUUCUGCGUCUCAGCGGAUGCCCCCUCCACCACCCCCGCACCCUCCGGCCCAAGAGUCGUACGAAGACUAUUCUUAUGAUGAGAGCUACACAGAGCCAGGCUAUGAAUCCUACGAGAGCUACUACAGUCAGCCACAAGCAGAGCCAGAAUACUAUGACUAUGGACACGGAGAGACACAGGAGGGAUAUGAAAACUAUGCUCAAGAUGACUGGAACGGGACACAGCGCGCAGCUGCUGGUGGAAAAGCUCCCACUCAGAGACAGACUAAGCCUGGGUUCAGGGAACACCCCUAUGGACGAUACUAAGUCUGACUAGCGGAACGUCACCCAACGCGUCGCCAUGACAACUGUCUCCCAUGGCAGCUCACACUUUAAGCUACCCGACAAAAGUUGUGAUGCCUGGAAAUUCCUGGAAAUGGAAUGUUGAAACAAGAAUGUCAGACCUCUCCUCAGGCAAAGACAAGUGUUUGUUUGCAGUAUAAGAGCAAUCUUACCUUUUGAACACCAGCAGUCUUUAUGGAACCAUGGACAGUCUGACUGGACAACUUCUGAACGGGUUGGAAUGGCAGAAAUCGAUGGUCCUGUCAGCUAAAGUUUAAACCAGCAACCUCUUAAUGGGUUGAAGUGGAAAAGUCUUGAGUUCUGGUGCUGUGUGUAUCUGCUCUCCAGUGGUUAUGCAAAGUCGUUUCUCUGUACUGCAAAAUUUCUCUUUACUGUUCACCUCAAGUGCUUUCUAAGCACGCUUAACUUUAAAUGUUCAUCUUUAAAUUGACCUCUUCUGCUCAUGUUGGCCAAGAAAUCAUUUUAACAAGCUUGAAAAAUUCUGUCCGGGCUCUCUAGACGUCUACCUCGCACAAUACUCCAGUGCUUUAUUCUGCAAGACAAGCAUGUCUUCCCCAGUUCCUCGCUCGGAGAAACGUACAUGCUAAUUUAGAGCUGUCCAGCCCCUAUCUCUUAGCACAGACUUUGUCCUUUAAUUGCCAUGGUAAUUUUUGUCUUGCUCUUGAGUAGAUAUGUUUGAAUGGGUUUAAGCUGCCAGAACCGCCUUGCCGUUUGUGUGAAUCUCAAUUGAAUUUUCCAUCUGUUGGCAACUGUUGAUCUAAAUCAUGCUAACAUUGUUACUGUCUGGAUAAUGGUCUUUCUUGCCCUAAUAAGGGCUUUUUACACUUGAAAUGGUUAACCCUGGGUCACUCUAAACCCCUGGUAAAAGAAAUCUUGGGUUAUCUUUAUUCACGUUUCACACUGCUCAUACCAUACCUGGGCUUAACAGUUAAUCCUGGGAAUUCAUAAACUGUCCUUUCACACUGCACAUUCCUAAACCCUGGGAUAAAGUCCUUAUCUGCAUAUUUGCGUUGUUCGUGUCUCUGACUGGACAAACGCAGCACGUGACCUGUUUACAUAAAGGCUCUAGCAUUGCGUGUCCUCAUAUUAUACAUGGCUGAAUAUCAAGUUUUGUUUUUUUUUGAGUGAACUAUAGUCUCUUCACUCCAAUUGUCAAUUUUCUGUUGCAUUUUCCUUUGCCAUUUGCCAUUUUUCCUAUCAUACUCAGUAACAACUAUUUAUACAUUGCGUAUUGUUUCCGUGACUGCCCGAAGCACGUGAAUAUAACGCAUGUGAUUGGUUGUUGGCUGCUUAACAUCUAGUUGUAACAUUCUGACCCUAUCGUUUCACACUGUACAAGUUUGGCACCGCAAUGCUCCAGAGCAGGGUUUCAUAACCCCAGGUAAAAAGCAGCGCUAAAACCCGCAUCUAAAUUUAAGCCCUAUUCGGACGGGAUUAGUUUUACAUGGGGAGGUGGAGUAAUGUAAUUUUACCUCAGGAUGUCUGUAAUAUUAAUGGCCAAUUUGCACGGGGUAAGACAUCUCAGUAAAACUAGCAGAAGUGGGAGGGGUAACUCGAUUUACGCACCGCCGUCACCUCCCUGUCGUCAUGUGGGUAUACGUUGCUUCCUGAUACCAUAUGUGCAAACACAUAUUCUAAAUUUAUAAACUAUAUAUAACAGUUAGGUCCGGUCAAAUGAUUUAUUAAAUUCUGAUUGGAUUAUGAUGGUAAUAGGCACUUAGCUAAAGCUAAAAUUUUGUGCCUCUGACAAGUGCUUUCGAUCUUCUUUUUGCUCUGAAUGGUAUGUGGAUAAUGCUUGAGGUUUGUCACAGACUUGUCCCACCACCACCACUUCAAGUGCUUCCAUGCUUGAAAAAUGCACGGAAAACUACUUUUAAACAGGAAAUGAUGGCAUUUUACCGUACAUAUUAACAGCGUGUCUAUUCGAACGGGAUUUGUAUUACCUGAGGUAAUUUUCCAGACCUUUUUACAGAAGGUAAAAGUCGCUGUAAUCUUUACUGACAUUGUCAGUAAUGAUUACCGAGAUGGCACAUUUGGACAGGGCUAAAAUCACUGAGAAGCUCUGGUAAUAAUUACUUUACCCCACCUCCCCAUGUAAAACUAAUCCUGUCCGAAUAGGGCUUUAGUGUGAAACGCUCCUUUACCCGGGGUUAAAAGCUGUGUUUGGAACGAUGAUAACCCGGGGUUAAGCACAGUGUGAAAAGCUCUAUAGAGAGCUUUCCAUAAAUUCAGCUUUUUCUAAUCCUUGCUGUGCAGAGUCUGAAUUUGGCACUGCAUGGCUUUUGUGCAUGUGCAUGUGCAUGUUUUGCUGUCAGUGUGUAUCGCCGUAGCUUCCAUCUUUUGCUUAUUUUUCCCGCUCAGCACACGUACGAUUUGAGUCCGUCAUUCUGACCAAUUACCACCGAUGACAGUGUGUUCGUCCCCCGCGGAGCCGCCACUGGUUGCCGACUGGCUAACAGGACUAAUGCCUUAUUGCAUUAGAGACAAAUCUGUCCUCAGCACAGAUUUUAAUAAGCAUCAGCCACUGCUCAAGUGCUGUCGAACAAUGGGUAGAAGGUUGACUGUUGUGUAUGCAGGCUUCACUUUAAUGAGAAAUUGCAAAAGCAGAUAAUGGAAAUAUUUAUUUUCCGGACAGAUGCUAGGGGGUAAAGAAAACUCAAAGUCUCAAGGAGGAGGAAAUGUUCAAGCCCACUGUGUGCACUAAAUGGGUCUUUGUUUACACAGUCAUAUCUGUUUGAGUCGGACAUACGUGGUCUACAGCUGCUGGGGAAAUGCCUCUGGGGUAAUGUGCAAGGCAUGUGUGGUGGUCUGAAACCGGGGGAUUGUGGUUUGGCAGCUCUUUUCUCCUAACACAUUGUGCAUUCUGAAAACAGGAAGCAUGGCUUUACGAAUGCAAAUGAAACACUCGCACCAAUGUCUGUCUGUCUUCCUGCAUGGCUAUUUUGCUAGUUUCGCACCUAAACCAGUAUAUACUCUCAAGGGAGUCAGGGUUUUGAGUGCACGGGGAGGAGUUGUGAUGGUUUCUGGCUCAUGUCCUGGAGAACUGUGGCUGCUGGCCAUCUCUUUCAGUGUGAAAUGCUGGUAAUAACUUAGCCUCCUAAAGGUCUCUCUCAGUGUGCUGUGAUGAAAAUGAAUUGAAUCCAUCCAUGUGGAAUCUGGCUUGAGUAAUCCGUAGCCCUCCAGGACAAAGAGUUGGAUACCUCUACCUUGGCUGUCGCUGAAGUAACAUUCCAUUGCAUGUUUUCCAACAUCCACAUAAGCAGACACACCUAAAACAAUGUCGGGAAACCAUGGGAAUUGCUCGGGAUUAGUGUUUAAAUACAAGUGCCAGGAGUCUGUGUUCUUUUGUUUUCUUAAGGAGAUUGAUGAGCCUGUAUUUCAAUGCGGCUAAACUGGAUUUGAGCUUAUUGAAGUGCUCAUCUUUCAGCAUAGCUGUUGCCCUUAUCUCAGUAGAAGCGAACUAAAGCCUUUGGGGCCGGAGUCACCUUUCGGUGACUUGGGGGAGCGGACAGAAUUUUUCUUCACCUUUUGAAAGUUAUUCAAACUUGUUUGGAAGUUGGUGCAUCCAAGAACACUCGUACACAGCCUGCAAAUUAGUACGUAUGACUACAAAGAGAAUACCCAAUAACUUGGCAUAUGUUUUUACCUAUUUUGUAAUGUCAAAAAUAAAAAGAAAUUGAAUUCUA